AACUAUAACAGUCGAUGAGGAGAGGUUUUAGUUCAUGUUAACAUCCGUGCUCAAAGAAAGAGUUCAUAGAUAUACCAGAGAUAAACCAUAUAGAUUAUAUGCCUUUAUCUUAUUGGGAUCGAUGUGGAUUGUACCGUGGCCAUUUCACCACCUUAAUAGCGGUGCUUUGAUUAGGAAAAGCUGAGGCUG
rnacentral:snoRNA from 1 species